CCUACGGGUGGCAGCAGUGGGGAAUAUUGGGCAAUGGGCGCAAGCCUGACCCAGCAACGCCGCGUGAAGGAAGAAGGCUUUCGGGUUGUAAACUUCUUUUCUCAGGGACGAAGAAAGUGACGGUAACUGAGGAAUAAGCCACGGCUAACUACGUGCCAGCAGCCGCGGUAAUCCGUAGGUGGAAAGAGUUAUCGGGAUUUACUGGGUGUAAAGGGCGUGUAGGCGGGACGGCAAGUCAGAUGUGAAAACCACGGGCUCAACCUGUGGCCUGCAUUUGAAACUGUAGUUCUUGAGUACUGGGGUGGCCGACGGAAUUCCUAGUGUAGCGGUGAAAUGCGUAGAGAUUAGGAGGAACACCAGUGGCGAAGGCGGUCUGCUGGACAGCAACUGACGCUGAGGCGCGAAAGCGUGGGGAGCAAACAGGAUUAGAUACCCCAGUAGUC
rnacentral:rRNA from 1 species